rnacentral:rRNA from 1 species
AACGAACGCUGGCGGCGUGGAUAAGACAUGCAAGUCGAACGGGAACUUCAGCUGUAGCAAUACAGUUGCAGUUUUAGUGGCGAACGGGUGCGUAACACGUGGGCAAUCUGCCGAGAAGUGGGGAUAGCUCGCCGAAAGGCGAAUUAAUACCGCAUAUGAGUCAGCUAAGACAUCUUGGCGACAUCAAAGCCGGGGCAACCUGGCGCUUCCUGAUGACCCCGCGGCCUAUCAGCGUAGUUGGUGAGGUAACGGCCCACCAAGGCGAUGACGGGUAGCUGGUC